UUGGAGGGCAAGUCUGGUGCCAGCAGCCGCGGUAAUUCCAGCUCCAAUAGCGUAUAUUAAAGUUGUUGCAGUUAAAAAGCUCGUAGUUGAAUUUCGGGGUCAAUAAGUUGGUCGUGCCAAUGGUAUGCACUGGCUUUAUUGAUUCCUACCUCUUGACGAACUGUGAUGCCAUUAAUUUGGUGUCGCAAGGAAUCAGGACUGUUACCUUGAAAAAAUUAGAGUGUUUAAAGCAGGCUUACGCUUGAAUACAUUAGCAUGGAAUAAUGAAAUAGGACGUUUGAACCUAUUUUGUUGGUUUCUAGGAUCGACGUAAUGAUUAAUAGGGAUAGUUGGGGGCAUUAGUAUUCAAUUGUCAGAGGUGAAAUUCUUGGAUUUAUUGAAGACUAACUACUGCGAAAGCAUUUGCCAAGGAUGUUUUCAUUAAUCAAGAACGAAAGUUAGGGGAUCGAAGACGAUCAGAUACCGUCGUAGUCUUAACCAUAAACUAUGCCGACUAGGGAUCGGAUGAUGUUAAUUUUUUAAUGACUCAUUCGGCGCCUUACGGGAAAC
rnacentral:rRNA from 2 species